CUCCUACGGGGGGCAGCAGUGGGGAAUAUUGCGCAAUGGGCGAAAGCCUGAACCAGCCAAGUCGCGUGAGGGACGACGGUCCUCUGGAUUGUAAACCUCUUUUGUCGGGGAACAAAGGCGUCCACGGGUGGGCGGAUGAGUGUACCCGAAGAAAAAGCAUCGACUAACUCCGUGCCAGCAGCCGCGGUAAUACGGAGGAUGCGAGCGUUAUCCGGAUUUAUUGGGUUUAAAGGGUGCGUAGGCGGACAGUCAAGUCAGCGGUAAAAAUGCGGUGCUCAACGCCGUACAGCCGUUGAAACUGGCAG
rnacentral:rRNA from 1 species